UAAGAAGAUAUACAAGAACUGCUAAUUCUUGUUAGUACUAAUAAUACCUUCUUAU
rnacentral:tRNA from 1 species